CUACCUAGUCUGCAGCCACCCAGGACAAGUCUUUCCAGUAGAAGGACCUAGAAGGGGACAGGAAAUUCUUCCUGACUGUUAAGAUACUUUAACCCACUAGACACUGCCACAACUGAGAGAUCCUUGGGGCAUCUGACAUACAGCUAGCAGAAGGUCUGUGAUAAUGUGCAUAGGAGAUAAUGGACCUCUUGGAAACCAAAGCCACAAAACUGGACCUAAGAACCAUUUCUUGAAAUGCAAAAUUUAGAAGUUUUUCAUCAGGGGAAAAAAAACGGUAUUGGAAAAUGGAGCCUGCAAUGUCAUCUCCACAAAUUAAAACAAAAGCUCUAAGAUUUUGUUAGCGUUGUGCCCGUGUAUUUGUAUGUGUGUCCAUGUACAUACAUUGUAAGUGUGAUUUUUCUCUACCUCCAGAUGGUGUUGCUAAAAUUAAUUUGGAAAAGAGUUUUAUUUAGUUGGCUUGAGGGCAAGGUUACUUGUGAAGUUUGGGUAUUCUAAAAUUCAGAAAGAUGAAAACAACCUAAAUGUUUUUCAAGUUCAUGUGAUCUGAGAACUCAGCACUAAAGCUAAUUGAAGGUUGUGGGUUUAAUUAAAAUAGACAUGUUUUAGGGUUAUCAGCAUUAAAUAUAAAACUUAUUCAGCAUAUGUUUACAGAAAGUCAAACAAGUUCAGGUUAUCUCUGUUGUAAAAUUUGUCAGGAAAAAACUUAGAAUGUUAAACUUAAUGUCCAAUAGGUUUGUGGGUAGUGUAAACAUCAUUAAGAACAAACAAAUAAAACAAAAAGGUUC